GGUCAAGUGAAGAAGCGCAUACGGUGGAUGCCUUGGCAGUCAGAGGCGAUGAAAGACGUGGUAGCCUGCGAUAAGCUUUGGGGAGUCGGCAAACAGACUGUGAUCCAGAGAUCUCUGAAUGGGGGAACCCACUCAGCAUAAGCUGAGUAUCUUGUACUGAAUACAUAGGUGCAAGAGGCGAACCAGGGGAACUGAAACAUCUAAGUACCCUGAGGAAAAGAAAUCAACCGAGAUUCCCUUAGUAGUGGCGAGCGAACGGGGACCAGCCCUUAAGUUGAUUUGAGAUUAGUGGAACGCUCUGGAAAGUGCGGCCAUAGUGGGUGAUAGCCCCGUACACGAAAAUCUCUUGUCAAUGAAAUCGAGUAGGACGGAGCACGAGAAACUUUGUCUGAAUAUGGGGGGACCAUCCUCCAAGGCUAAAUAC
rnacentral:rRNA from 1 species